GCGGUCCAUGCCGGAUUCCCACCGUAAGCCUUCACCCAAGCUUCCAUUAUGGAUGAAUUCCUUUCGAAUUUCUGUUGCAGACAGGCCUUGGCCGAGACUCCUCGAUAAAUGAUCCCCAUCCGAGCUUCUAUGGAGACCGAACUCCAACAGAACUUCGACCGAUAGGCCUGGACCCCCUGGCAGGCCACAGUAACGGCCACGACUCUGCUCCACUUCCUGCAACAGAUUCCAUGCGGCUCCAUCACUCCCUGGCAGGCCACAGUAACGGCCACGAUUCUGCUCC
rnacentral:lncRNA from 1 species